GCUGGGUAGCUAUGUACGGAAGGGAUAAGCGCUGAAAGCAUCUAAGCGUGAAGCCCCCCUCAAGAUGAGAUUUCCCAGUAUGUAAGACCCCUUGAAGACGACGAGGUAGAUAGGUUGGGGGUGGAAGUGCAGUAAUGCAUGGAGCUGACCAAUACUAAUCGGUCGAGGGCUUAUCCUAA
rnacentral:rRNA from 1 species